ensembl:snoRNA SNORA73 Small nucleolar RNA SNORA73 family
ACACCGUUAGGCUGGGAGGUCACUUCCCAGGCUCUGUCCAGGUGGCACAGGGAAGCCCUGCCUGGUGAUGUACAGUCUAUUUCCACAACAUUGGACAUGAAGCCGGGCCUUGAGCCCGUGCCUGCAUAUUUCUACAGCUUCUCAGAGUCUUGUGGACAAUGACUGAGGAGACAAACCACACAGGAAACAGCC